UAUAGGUUAGAAAUCGACGAAAUCAAACAACCGGUCUAACAAACCACCCCGGCGCGGCGAGCGGAGACGUGUCCCGAUCCAACUCACGAAUUGGGGAGCACACAGCAAAAGUUCCGAUCCAACUCCGGGAGGGAGCCCGAUCCGCCCUAGCACAAGACCACCCGCGAUCCCCUUCCCCCUCCCCAAUCCUCCUCAGAUCUCCGCGGCGGGUCGAUCGAAUCGGCGGCGGCGCGAUGUCGGGGCAGACGCAGCGCCUGAACGUGGUGCCGACGGUGACGAUGCUGGGGGUCAUGAAGGCCCGGCUCGUCGGCGCCACCCGCGGCCACGCCCUCCUCAAGAAGAAGUCGGACGCGCUCACCGUCCAGUUCCGCGCCAUCCUCAAGAAGAUCGUCGCCGCCAAGGAGUCGAUGGGGGAGGCCAUGAGGGCAUCCUCCUUCUCCCUCGCCGAGGCCAAGUACGUCGCCGGCGACGGCGUCCGCCACGUCGUCCUCCAAUCCGUCCGCUCCGCCUCCCUCCGCGUCCGCUCCCACCAGGAGAACGUCGCGGGUGUCAAGCUCCCCAAGUUCACCCACUUCGUCGACCCCGCCGCCGGCUCCGCGGGGCCGUCCAAUGCGUCCCCGAACCUCACCGGCCUCGCCGCGGUGGGCAGCAGGCAUCCUUCCUGACCCUCGAUGAGGCCAUCAAGACCACCAACCGCCGUGUCAACGCGCUGGAGAACGUCGUGAAGCCGAGGCUGGAGAACACCAUCAGCUACAUCAAGGGGGAGCUGGACGAGCUCGAGCGCGAGGACUUCUUCAGGCUAAAGAAGAUCCAGGGUUACAAUAAGAGGGAGAUCGAGAGGCAGAUGGCUGCAGCCAAGCAAUUCGCAGAGGAGCAGCUUGCGGAAGAGGUUGCGCUCAAGAGAGGCAUCUCAGUGGGGGCCGCAACCAACAUGCUCGUCGCUGGUGGAGAGAGGGACGAAGAUAUCAUCUUCUGAUCAUCUUCAGUCAUACAAUUAUUCAAUCGUGGUGGAAACAAUAAGUUGUGAUGCUGGAGCUACAGAAUCGCACCUUUUUAUAGAGUGGCGGUGGUUUUGUUUCAGGCAGUAGUCUGGACUCUAUUCAUCCAAGACCACAAAUAAUCUGUAUUUCGAACCAAACAAUGGAUGGAUUGUUUAUGUGCAGUUCUCGUAGUUAAUUCAAUUGAGCUGUAUUUCUUUGCCAUGUUCGUUUUAGUUAUAUAUUUGUUCGGGAAGGUGUUUGUGUUCGGGGGGUUUUGCACACUGAAGCUGCAGACUCAAAGUGUAUUUCUUUCUUGCUGA